CAGUGGGGAUUUCAGUAGGGGGGCACUAAAACCUGCACAGCCUCCUUUGGUGGGAUCUUAUGCUGCGCUGGCAUUUCGGGAAACCUGAAAGCUAGAAGACACUGCUUUAGGAAAAAGGCAAAUCCUCUGCUCUCAGCUGCACAGGAGACUACUUUCUGUUCCAGCUUGAAGUCCUUUGGUCUGAUUCAGAUUCAUGCACUGCCCAACUGGAGUGGAGAGGAAGAAACAAUUGCACCCAGAAAUCAAACAGUGUCUGAGAGGCAUUUGGUGGUUUAUAUUUAUGGGAAAAAAAGCUGGUGUUCCCACUUCCAUGAGCAUCAGUGUGGCUGGUUUGAAGGGCUGGCCUCAGCUCUGUUCCCUGUCCCCAGUGCUCAGGGGGAAGGUCCUCUUUACUGUCAGACACAAAACUUCUUGGGUGAUGUGGUGCUGGAAUUGCCUGCAAAACCUUCAGGAAUGAGCAGACUUUUCAGAGAGACUGGAACACAUAACUGGAAAGGAUCACCUGCUUACCUGAGAAUGCCUUCAGAGUAUUUUGAUGAUACUUUUUUGUGAAAUAUUUUGGGUUUGCUAAAAG